rnacentral:miRNA from 2 species
UUGGUGAGGGCAUCUCCAAUGG